GUGGGGAAUUUUGGACAAUGGGGGAAACCCUGAUCCAGCCAUUCCGCGUGAGUGAAGAAGGCCUUCGGGUUGUAAAGCUCUUUCAGGAGGGAAGAAACGGUUGCAGCUAAUACCUGCGACUAAUGACGGUACCUUCAGAAGAAGCACCGGCUAACUACGUGCCAGCAGCCGCGGUAAUACGUAGGGUGCGAGCGUUAAUCGGAAUUACUGGGCGUAAAGCGUGCGCAGGCGGUUUUGUAAGUCAGAUGUGAAAGCCCCGGGCUCAACCUGGGAACUGCGUUUGAAACUACAAGGCUAGAGUGUAGCAGAGGGGGGUAGAAUUCCACGUGUAGCAGUGAAAUGCGUAGAGAUGUGGAGGAAUACCGAUGGCGAAGGCAGCCCCCUGGGUUAACACUGACGCUCAUGUACGAAAGCGUGGGGAGCAAACAGGAUUAGAUACCCGAGUAGUCC
rnacentral:rRNA from 1 species